rnacentral:tRNA from 1 species
UGGGAUGUAACUCAGUGGUAGAGUAAAUGCUUACCACGCAUGAAGCUCUGAGUUCAAUCCUCAGAACCCCCC